UGUUGAGGUCCUGAUCUCACAGGAGCCCAGUGAGCAUCUUGAAAAUGUUAAAGAAGGAGAUAAAGUCACAUUCUUAUGUAAUGUGAAGAAAAGCUCCCCACAACCAUACGCCUUUGCUUGGUAUAAAAAUGGAAGACGCCAACCCAAUUCAGACCCAUGGAAUCAAAAAAGAGUUGAUAUAUUGAAGGUCCAGCCCCAGCACAGUGGUCAGUAUGAAUGCGAAGCCACGAACUCUGUGGGCGGUGGGAAAUCAGCACCUCGUCAUUUUCAGGUUAACUACAAGCCAAGAAACACCCGGAUUUCCUCAGAGAACUUGAACGAUAACAGCGUGAGCGUUAGCGGCUCUCUCACACUGACCUGCAACACUGAGGCCUUUCCACAGCCGUGGUUCACCUGGUACCGUUACCGACAGACCGACCGCUUGAACCUGACGCACAUGAGCAGAGAACAGAGCCUAACACUGAAGAAGGUGCAGAGAGCGGACGAGGCCUGUUACAGAUGUAACACAUCAAACAGCAUCGAUACUGGGGACGUCAGUGAGCCGCUGUGCAUACGUGUACGGUUUCCUCCCACCAGCAUGGUGCUGUCGAUGGAGCCUGAGGUGACAGAGGGCCAGCCGGUAACGAUCACCUGCUCUGUGGAGAGUUUCCCGCCGUCACGUUUUACCUUGACUAGAUCAAACAACAAAUCAACUUUAAAAGAAUUUCCAGCUGAUGGAAAAAAUGCUGUCCGCCACACUUUCGCUGCAACCUCGACAGAUGCAAACAGUUACACCUGCAAUGCACGGAACAGUGAGGGAGGUGCACAGAGCGCCCCGAGGACACUAGUGGUGACAUAUGCCCCUAAAGAAGUGACGGUAGAAGCUGUGCCCGGUCUCGUGGUGAAAGAAAACAAGAAAUUCAGGUUGGACUGCAGGGCCAAGUCCCACCCACCAGUGCGCUCCAUGACCUGGGUGAAGAGGCCUCAUGGGGGGG